CGCUCGUUGAUGAUCCCGCGUUGUAUUAGCUAGUUGGUGAGGUAACGGCUCACCAAGGCGAUGAUACAUAGCCGACCUGAGAGGGUGAUCGGCCACAUUGGGACUGAGACACGGCCCAAACUCCUACGGGAGGCAGCAGUAGGGAAUCUUCGGCAAUGGACGAAAGUCUGACCGAGCAACGCCGCGUGAGUGAAGAAGGUUUUCGGAUCGUAAAGCUCUGUUGUUGUUAAAGAACGUUGAUGAGAGUGGAAAGUUCAUCAAGUGACGGUAAACAACCAGAAAGGGACGGCUAACUACGUGCCAGCAGCCGCGGUAAUACGUAGGUCCCGAGCGUUGUCCGGAUUUAUUGGGCGUAAAGCGAGCGCAGGUGGUUUCUUAAGUCUGGUGUCAAAGGCUACUGCUCAACAGUAGUGUGCAUUGGAAACUGGGAGACUUGAGUGCAGGAGAGGAGAGUGGAAUUCCAUGUGUAGCGGUGAAAUGCGUAGAUAUAUGGAGGAACACCGGAGGCGAAAGCGGCUCUCUGGCCUGUAACUGACACUGAGGCUCGAAAGCGUGGGGAGCAAACAGGAUUAGAUACCCUGGUAGUCCACGCCGUAAACGAUGAGUGCUAGAUGUGGGGAGCUAUAAGUUCUCCGUAUCGCAGCUAACGCAAUAAGCACUCCGC
rnacentral:rRNA from 1 species